AAUCAAAUUUAAAAAAAGAAACAAAUAAGUGGAAGCAUAUAUCGUGUUCAUGGACAGAAAGAGUUAAUAUCAUUAAAAUGGUCACACUACACA